rnacentral:rRNA from 1 species
UCUGGUUGAUCCUGCCAGUAGUCAUAUGCUUGUCUCAAAGAUUAAGCCAUGCAUGUCUAAGUACAAACCUUAAUACGGUGAAACCGCGAAUGGCUCAUUAAAUCAGCUAUGGUUCCUUAGAUCGUCUCAUCCUACUCGGAUAACUGUGGAAAAUCUAGAGCUAAUACGUGCUUACAAGCCCUGACCUCACGGGAGGGGCGCAUUUAUUAGAUCAAAACCAAUCGGGGCUUGCCCCGUCUGCUUGGUGACUCUGGAUAACUUUUGUGCUGAUCGCAUGGCCUCUGCGCUGGCGACGUAUCUUUCAAGUGUCUGCCCUAUCAACUUACGAUGGUAGGUGAUAUGCCUACCAUGGUUAUAACGGGUAACGGGGAAUCAGGGUUCGAUUCCGGAGAGGGAGCCUGAGAAACGGCUACCACAUCUAAGGAAGGCAGCAGGCGCGCAAAUUACCCACUCCCGGCACGGGGAGGUAGUGACGAAAAAUAACGAUACGGGACUCUUUUGAGGCCCCGUAAUUGGAAUGAGUACACUUUAAAUCCGUUAACAAGUAUCUAUUGGAGGGCAAGUCUGGUGCCAGCAGCCGCGGUAAUUCCAGCUCCAAUAGCGUAUAUUAAUGUUGCUGCAGUUAAAAAGCUCGUAGUUGGAUCUGAGGACUCGAAUUGGUGGUGCACCAUACGGUGUUACUGCCGAUUCGGCCUACCUAGUCGGUGCUCGCUCUUGGUGUUCUUAAUUGAAUGCCCUGAGUGCCCGGCAAGUUUACUUUGAAAAAAUUAGAGUGCUCAAAGCAGGCCAUUAGCCGGAAUACUUCAGCAUGGAAUAAUGGAAUAGGACUUCGGUUCUAUUUUGUUGGUUUUCGGAACCCGAGGUAAUGAUUAAGAGAGACAGACGGGGGCAUUCGUACUGCGGUGUUAGAGGUGAAAUUCUUGGAUCGCCGCAAGACGAACAACUGCGAAAGCAUUUGCCAAGAAUGUUUUCAUUAAUCAAGAACGAAAGUCAGAGGUUCGAAGACGAUCAGAUACCGUCCUAGUUCUGACCAUAAACGAUGCCAACUGGCGAUCCGAGAUCGUUUGCUUAUUGACCUCUCGGGCAGCCUCCGGGAAACCAAAGUUUUUAGGUUCCGGGGGAAGUAUGGUUGCAAAGCUGGAAUUUCCAGCUUCAAGCUGGAAACUGUUCAAUUGCAACUCUGCCUGUGACACCAAGUGGUCGGGUUACUUGGUCUGUUCUGGCCCGGAGUCGGUAGGGUUUCCGGCCUUGUGCUCUUUCCUUACUGUUCUCUGUAACGCCGAAGGCGGGGCUUCCACGGUGGGGAAGCGGUUGUACAAAUCCGGCAAAUCCAGCCAAAUGGGUUCCGGACUCUGUCCAACCUGCAACUGGUAACAGCCUCGGCUGGCUAACAUUUGAGCUGGGACUCGCUUGGGAGGAGCGAGGAUAAUAUAAACCUCUAUGUGACUGAGGUGAGGAAUCUGGUUCUCGUAAAAUGGCUGGAGAUCCCGAGCCUGUAAGUCAUAAAAUUAGUUCCCCACGAGGGAGGUGUCGAAUUGAAGCCAGUGCGUGCCCUUACUAGUUUAAGGGAUUGUAUACUUCCUUUGGUGUACCCACCUGGAAGUGCCCAAGGGGUCCUAUCCCUGCACU